UACGGAGGGGGCGAGCGUUAUUCGGAAUUAUUGGGCGUAAAGGGCGCGUAGGCGGCUGUACAAGUCAAAGGUGAAAUCCCUCGGCUCAACUGAGGAACUGCCUUUGAAACUGUACGCUUGGAGGCCGGGAGGGGGUAGCGGAAUUCCCAGUGUAGCGGUGAAAUGCGUAGAUACUGGGAGGAACACCAGUGGCGAAGGCGGCUACCUGGACCGGUUCUGACGCUGAGGCGCGAAAGCGUGGGGAGCAAACAGG
rnacentral:rRNA from 1 species